CGAAAGCCUGACGGAGCAAUACCGCGUGAGGGAGGAAGGCUUUUGGGUUGUAAACCUCUUUUUUAAAGGAAGAAGAAAGUGACGGUACUUUAAGAAUCAGCAUCGGCUAACUCCGUGCCAGCAGCCGCGGUAAUACGGAGGAUGCAAGCGUUAUCCGGAAUCAUUGGGCGUAAAGCGUCCGCAGGUGGCUGUUCAAGUCUGCUGUUAAAGACAGAAGCUCAACUUCUGAACAGCAGUGGAAACUGGACGGCUAGAGUACGGUAGGGGCAGAGGGAAUUCCCGGUGUAGCGGUGAAAUGCGUAGAUAUCGGGAAGAACACCAGUGGCGAAAGCUCUGGAAUGGGCCAUGACCAUGACUCAUGCAAGAAAGGCAGGGGAGUG
rnacentral:rRNA from 1 species